rnacentral:misc_RNA from 1 species
AGGAGCUCUUGGCAAAGGAGCUACCAGAUACGCAGGUACUAGAGCCUACACCUGGUGUUACACUAGAAGUUUCAGCAACUUGAAAUUUUCUAUAGCAAGCAAUGUUCUCAUGGUAUCCCAAUGAUGAUGAGAAAAUGAAGCAGGCUAGCUUACCCCAAAAGCUAGCUCCAAGGAGGAGGAUGACUCAAGUUUUUACAAGGGGUACAUCAGGUAGUUUUUAUUUGUUUAGCCACCUGUUGGGUAACGUUGAAAUGACUCCUAUAUCAUCCAGGAGAUCAAAAGAAAACCGGUAUUAGCACUUAACAUAAUAUAAGGCCAUAAUUUCGUUACAGCAGAAUAUAGAAUUGAGCAUUUAUCAGUAUUUCAUGCUGCAAAUAGAGUGAGAAUAGAAAAAAUUUGCAUAGACUUAGUUCAUCAUAAAUUUAAAAUACGAAUAUGUGAAUUCACUUAUUCUAAGCUUGUUUGGUUUAGUCGUGAUAGCUGAUAGUUGAUGAUAACCGAUCAAUGUUAAGUAUUUGGUAAAAUUA